rnacentral:lncRNA from 1 species
GGCUAGACUGAAACCCCCAGAGGCUGGCCCCUAAUGGCCCAAGUCUGCCCUACUUCUCAAAAAUAGGCUACAUCCCACAGCCUGUCAAAAUAGUGCCACCUACUGGGGACCACAUGUUCAAACCUAGGCGCCUGUGAGGAGUAUUUUUGCCUUUAAUGGGUAACAAUUCUCAACUUGUUCCCACACCACAAACAUAGCUUAUGUGAGAUUUGGUGAGCACCUGAGCACAGUUCCAGCCUGCUAGUUGAUCACUUAAAUGCAGCAGCCAAAGUCCAAGAGCACACACUGUCUCUUGAGGCCAGAACCCCAGCCUCUUGGAGCAUCACCCCCCGGUGCCAUGUUUCUUCCCCCCACCCCCACCCCGAAUAUUUCUUCAGCCUUUAAUGUUCUCUCGUGUUCUCCUCAGCUAUUAAAUCCUGCAGGUAGAUAAUAUUCAUCUCUACUUAUCAGGACUCUGUAAGUCUAUCUCAUGACUACACUUUAAAAAAAAAAGAUUUAUUUAUUUUAGUAUGUGAGUACAUUGUACCUGUCUUCAGACAUACCAGAAGAGGGUAUCGGAUCCCAUUACAGAUGGUUGUGAGCCACCAUGUGGUUGCUGGGAAUUGAACUCAGGACCUCUGGAGAGCAGUCAGUGCUCUUAACCACUGAGCCAUCUCUCCAGCCCCCUUAUGACUACACCUUAACUGAGUCUUUCAUUCACUCACUAAAUCUCUUUUCCCUUAUGGCCCACACGGUUGUUUUUUCCCCAGGUAUCUGUGUAAAUUUUACUUAAGUUCUAGACAGCUUUGUUGUUUUGCAUGGUGUUUAUAACUGGCAUCUUCAAUCUAGAUCCAGUUGUUUGUACUGAACAAAUAUUUUGACUUUCAACACAAUGUCUUACGUUGUUGCUAUGAUAAAUGUUUAGUGUUCUGCAUAAUAUGCCCAAUAGUGGAGAGAUCUGAUGAGAGAGGAGAGAAGAAAGAGGCUCAUUUCAAUGAUCUGCUGUUGAUGUUUUGAAAUGUCCUAGCAGGACUUGGUGUUCUGUUCUUCGACUGAGGGAAAAGCAGUUGUUAGCAGUCACCUGUCAUUCUCCUGGCACAAAUCUUGAGCCCAAGUAAUGAAGCAAUUCUUCACAGGGUUGAGGCCCACAGGAGGCUGCAUAGUAGUCUCAGCAGACAGCCAGCUUCAUUCAGGAGGCCCCUGACAUCUGUGUCCUCCCUGAUGACCACCUGUGCACACUUUCUCAGAGGAAGAAGAGAGAUCAUCCUUUAAAGCCAAAUGUGAAACGAGUAAAUGAUUAAGUCCAUGCAGUCCCUAAGGGCCCAUUCACUCCGAGUCCACAUUGAAUGAAGCUUCAAGACAGAUAUGGAAAUGGCAGUCUCAUAACCUUCUGGCUCUACAAGGCAUCACUCAUUGUAGUGGGCCAGAGCAGCAUUGCCCCAUAGCAAGACACAGGAGGAUAUUCCCACGUGUCUCCAUAUUGUAAACAGAGUAAUGUUAUAAUUUUUUGUCAGAAAUAAAGACUGACUUCCUUUAGGCAGGUUUGUCUGUCUGCUGCGUGUAGUGUGUGUGUGUGUAUACACAAAGAUGAAAAGAGGUAUUCCAAGUCCCCUGGAGCUGGAGUUACAGGUGUACAGAGCUGCCUGAGGUGGGUGGGUGCUGGGACCCAGACUCUGGUCCUUUGGCAGAUUAGGAAGCUCUCUAAACAAACAUCUGAGUUAUCUCUCCAUCCCCAUAAGCAGGCUUUGGAAAGCAGAACUAUACCAGGCUACAUGUAAUUGUUUUACAUAAUCUGCUGCUAUACUGCCCUAUGUAAAUAUAACUAUUUAUAGUGCCCACCCACUCUGGGAAUUAUCACUUUGGCUUACUUUGCUAUGGAUGACAGACGUGUAAUAGAAUCGAACUUUUUUACUUGAAUUUUUUUAUAUUUCUGGUGAGGCAGAGUUUUGCCUGUGAUAACUGAUGGUCUAACCUGAAUUGCAUGCUUUCAUUGUGCUUGGAUGAAUUCUUUAUAUAUUUGGAAAAUCCAGUUUCUAUAGAAUCUUAUUGCUGCAAGCUUAUGAAAUGUCAGAUAGGGUGUUUAGCAUUUUUUGUGUGUUAUCUAAUUUAAUUAUCACAGUAUCUCUGUCACAGGGCAUUCUGAUAUGGUGUUUAAGUAUUGAAUUGGGUGGUUCUUGGUUUAAGUUCUGAUACCACUGUUUCCUCUUGUGACCAUUGGUAAACUUUAUAUAUCCUGCAAGUCUUCCUUUGUGUUAUAUUUUUAUUUUGUGUCUGUCUGUCUGUACCACCUCACUGUCUAUAUGUGAAUGUAUGUAUAUAUAUAUAUAUAUAUAUAUAUAUAUAUAUACACACAUAUAUGUGUGUGUGUUAUGUAUGUAUGUAUGUGUACGCAUAUGUGUAUGUACAUAUGUUUAUGUGUUCAUCUCUCUAUGUCUGUGUGUGUGUCUGUGUGUAUAUUUGUGUAUCUGUGUCUGUAUGUCUCUCUCUCUCUCUCUCUCUCUCUCUCUCUCUCUCUCUCUCUCUCUCUGUGAGUGCAUGUGUGUAGAAGUAAGAGGAAGAUGCAGGCAUCAUUCCUCUCUGGGUUCUAGGGUUUGAACUCAGGUCACCAGGGUUGGCAAGCAUCUUUACACUCCGAGCCAUCUUGCCUGCCCAGUUUCCUCUCCUAUGUAUUGGAAAUAACUGUCCCUGUCUUACAUGCUUGUAAGGAUUGAGAGAGUGCAUAUGUGCACCAUCAUGUACACAGCACACACUCAUUUAAUAUCCAUUGAGACAGUGGGUGUUUUCUCUUUUUUCCCUGGGUUAAUUUAGGUUGAGAACCACCAGUCUAGCUGGUAUAAUGGAAAAGACCCAUGGGCUACUUUUGAAGUAAAGGGGGAUUUAUUUAGGCUUAGAAUUUUGGAGUCAAACCUAAGGCUAGGCAGCCCAUUACUUUAGGCCUUGCACGCCAUGGCAGGAGCACAUGGGCAAGUAAGUGCUCACUUCUCCAGCCAGGAAGCAGCGUGAGAGACUGACUCAGGGUCCACAGUCUCAUGGGCAUAGCUCAAGGUCUCAGCUUCGAAGAUCAGCAGCACCUACCUACCAGACCUGCCACCCUGGGUAUCGAAUUCUGACCUCUGAGGGGGCACCCAGCUCUAAAGAAAACCAUCUAGCUGACUCUAUCAAAGCUGCUGUUUUUAUAGAAGUUGGUAACCAAGGCUUAAAAGUAUUUGAAUUAUUUCCAGUUCUGUGCCUUGUGCUCACCAAAGGCUACAGUGUUGCCAACAGUCAAGCAGCUCUGUGUGGUUGGUGCCAGGGACCCAUGCAUGGGGUAGGGCUCAGAACCUGCAGUCCUUAUCUGGGUACUCAGCCAGCCUGGAGCAGAUGAAGCUGAGGCAUGUCAAUCAACUAGGAGAGAAUUUCCAGUGGGAAAAUAGGGAUGCCCAGCUUGUGCUCAGGCUUUGGGUUUU